rnacentral:rRNA from 1 species
ACGAACGCUGGCGGCGUGCUUAACCCAUGCAAGUCGAACGGUGAAGCGCCUUCCUUUUUGGUGGGUGUGGAUGAGUGGCGCACGGGUGAGUAACACGUGAGUAACCUGCCCCCUUCUUCUGGAUAACCGCAUGAAAGUGUGGCUAAUACGGGAUAUUCUGGGUCUGUCGCAUGAUGGGUCUGGGAAAGAUAUUGUUUCGGUGGGGGAUGGGCUCGCGGCCUAUCAGCUUGUUGGUGGGGUGAUGGCCUACCAAGGCGGUGACGGGUAGCCGGCCUGAGAGGGUGGACGGUCACACUGGGACUGAGACACGGCCCAGACUCCUACGGGAGGCAGCAGUGGGGAAUAUUGCACAACGGGCGCAAGCCUGAUGCAGCGACGCCGCGUGAGGGAUGGAGGCCUUCGGGUUGUGAACCUCUUUCGCCAGUGAAGCAGGCCUGCCUCGUUUGUGGGUGGGUUGACGGUAGCUGGAUAAGAAGCGCCGGCUAACUACGUG